AGAGUAAGAGAGGUUUGGAUACAGAGAAAUGAAUUGAGAUUGGCAUGAAUAAAAUAAAAAGUAUAAAGAAAAAUUGAAAUAUUAUUAAAAAUAUUAAUAAUACCACUACAAAUAAAUCUAUAUAAAAUGAUCUAUUUGAAAUUUUCCCAAAAUUAUUGAUAUGCAAAGUUGCAAGUCCUCAAGUGGCUUCGUCACUGAGCACGUAUGCCUAAUAUCUGCCAGUUGAAAUAAGGAAUUGAGAAUUAAAUUGCGUUAGAGAAAACGAAAAAAACGUGUUUAAUCAAUUAAUUCAUAAAAGUCUGCAAGGUAGGCCUCAGUACGUAAAUAUCCAGUUCUGACGUCAUCGAAUUAACAAUCAGGCAAUGUCGGCAAAAUACGUCAUCAUUGGCCCCCUCAACGAAAGACUCAUACAACAACAAUAUCAAUCAAUUAAGAAAGCCUCCAUUAUAAUUUAUUUAUAUAUGUCCAACCACAAUUUGUGAAUUUAACAAAACAUAUUACGACUAGUUUGUUCGAUUAAUAAAAUCUUUUAAUAUAAUAUGUUUAGAGUUCGAAUCUAUUUAUAUAUAGACGCACAUUUAAGAUUUUUGAAACACUUAUAAUAUAAUUACCUCUUUCUCCAGCUCAUCAAAAUGUGUUGGAAAUAACUCAAUCAACUUUGUGAAUGUUCUCAAGUUGAUAUUUCAUCACCACGUCAGAGAAAGCAAGAUUGACCCCAAAUUGUAGGUUUCUUCAGGUAACUUUCUUUUUCAUGUUCUGCAUUUUUAUUUUUAUUUUUGUAACUUUUCUCUUUUCAAAUCACUUGAACUAGCUUGCCUGUUUAUAU
rnacentral:lncRNA from 1 species